CAGUAGCCGCGGUAAUACGAAGGGUGCAAGCGUUACUCGGAAUUACUGGGCGUAAAGCGUGCGUAGGUGGUGGUUUAAGACCGUUGUGAAAGCCCUGGGCUCAACCUGGGAAUUGCAGUGGAUACUGGGUCACUAGAGUGUGGUAGAGGAUAGUGGAAUUUCCGGUGUAGCAGUGAAAUGCGUAGAGAUCGGAAGGAACAUCUGUGGCGAAGGCGACUAUCUGGGCCAACACUGACACUGAGGCACGAAAGCGUGGGGAGCAAACAGGAUUAGAUACCCCAGUAGUCCCUGUCUCUUAUAU
rnacentral:rRNA from 1 species